CUAUCGCUUACAGAUGGGCCCGCGGUGCAUUAGCUAGUUGGUAGGGUAAUGGCCUACCAAGGCAACGAUGCAUAGCCGACCUGAGAGGGUGAUCGGCCACACUGGGACUGAGACACGGCCCAGACUCCUACGGGAGGCAGCAGUAGGGAAUCUUCCGCAAUGGACGAAAGUCUGACGGAGCAACGCCGCGUGUAUGAAGAAGGUUUUCGGAUCGUAAAGUACUGUUGUUAGAGAAGAACAAGGAUAAGAGUAACUGCUUGUCCCUUGACGGUAUCUAACCAGAAAGCCACGGCUAACUACGUGCCAGCAGCCGCGGUAAUACGUAGGUGGCAAGCGUUGUCCGGAUUUAUUGGGCGUAAAGCGCGCGCAGGCGGUCUUUUAAGUCUGAUGUGAAAGCCCCCGGCUUAACCGGGGAGGGUCAUUGGAAACUGGAAGACUGGAGUGCAGAAGAGGAGAGUGGAAUUCCACGUGUAGCGGUGAAAUGCGUAGAUAUGUGGAGGAACACCAGUGGCGAAGGCGACUCUCUGGUCUGUAACUGACGCUGAGGCGCGAAAGCGUGGGGAGCAAACAGG
rnacentral:rRNA from 1 species